AACAGGAUUAGAUACCCUGGUAGUCCACGCCCUAAACGAUGUCUACUAGUUGUUGGUGGAGUAAAAUCCAUGAGUAACGCAGCUAACGCGUGAAGUAGACCGCCUGGGGAGUACGGUCGCAAGAUUAAAACUCAAAUGAAUUGACGGGGGCCCGCACAAGCGGUGGAUUAUGUGGAUUAAUUCGAUGCAACGCGAAAAACCUUACCUGGCCUUGACAUGUAGCGAACUUUCCAGAGAUGGAUUGGUGCUCGAAAGAGAACGUUAACACAGGUGCUGCAUGGCUGUCGUCAGCUCGUGUCGUGAGACGUUGGGUUAAGUCCCGCAACGAGCGCAACCCUUGCCAAUAAUUGCCAUCAUUUAGUUGGGCACUUUAUUGGGACUGCCGAUGACAAAUCGGAGGAAGGUGGGGAUGACGUCAAGUCCUCAUGGCCCUUAUGGCCAGGGCUUCACACGUAAUACAAUGGUCGGUACAGAGGGUUGCCAAGCCGCAAGGUGGAGCCAAUCCCAGAAAGCCGAUCGUAGUCCGGAUUGAGGUCUGCAACUCGACCUCAUGAAGUCGGAAUCGCUAGUAAUCGCGGAUCAGCAUGUCGCGGUGAAUACGUUCCCGGGCCUUGUACACACCGCCCGUCACACCAUGGGAGUGGGUUUUACCAGAAGUAGGUAGUCUAACCGCAAGGAGGACGCUUACCACGGUAGUAUUCAUGACUGGGGUGAAGUCGUAACAAGGUAACC
rnacentral:rRNA from 1 species